rnacentral:rRNA from 1 species
UACGUAGGUGGCAAGCGUUGUCCGGAAUUAUUGGGCGUAAAGCGUGCGCAGGCGGCUUUGCAAGACAGAUGUGAAAUCCCCGGGCUCAACCUGGGAAUUGCAUUUGUGACUGCAUGGCUGGAGUGCGGCAGAGGGGAUGGAAUUCCGGCGUGUAGCAGUGAAAUGCGUAGAUAUGCGGAGGAACACCGAUGGCGAAGGCAAUCCCCUGGGCCUGCACUGACGCUCAUGCACGAAAGCGUGGGAGCAACAGG